GCAUGUGCGCGAGUCAUUGGGACUCUGUUAAACCUAAAGGCGCAAUGAAAGUAAAGGUCCGCCUCGCGCGGACCGAGGGAGGAUGGGCCCGUCCCCGGACGGGCCCCGCACUCCCGGGGCGUCUCGUUCUCAUCGCGAGAAGAGGCGCACCCAGAGCGUACACGCUGGGACCCGAAAGAUGGUGAACUAUGCCUGGUCAGGACGAAGUCAGGGGAAACCCUGAUGGAGGUCCGUAGCGAUUCUGACGUGCAAAUCGAUCGUCGGAACUGGGUAUAGG
rnacentral:rRNA from 1 species